rnacentral:lncRNA from 10 species
GUAACUACAAAGCAUUACAUGUCUCAUAUUCUGUUUAAUAAUCUUACUUUGACCUCUCAUUUAUUCUAAGUUUUUAGCUCCUUGGAUAUCUUUUCCUCCCAGUGUUAAUGGAAUUUCAGCACUUCGUCUUAAAAUCCAUGGGUUCAACUAACUAUGCUGAACAAGAUAUCUGCAUAAGUAGAAAAUUUAUCCCUCUCUUUUGCAGCUGCAGGAAAAAUGUUAUUCCAGAUCAUAAACCCUCCUUGCAAGAAAAAAGUAUUUUGCAACAUCUAGAAUUUAGAUAUAAUUGCCAUCUAGAGUGAGCAAAUCUCAAACUCUGAAAUAUCUAUCAUUUUGAUUGAUUGUAUUAUUUACCAAUGUGUUAUGCCCAGGUAAUAACAUCUCUGUUGUCAAACGAAAGCUAGAAAGAUAUUACACAAAGGUAAAAUAUAAUAAAUCAACUCUGGUAGAUGUCUUAAAGUGUUUUGUUUUUUGCAUUUCCAAUGGCAGAUGAAAUCAGGGCAAGAAACCGAAGUAAUGAUUACUCACAAGUAAGAAUACUUGCUUGCUGAACACUUGCUGAAGACACACUUAAUAAUUUGAAAUUGUUCAAUCAGCAUCAUACAAUAUUAUUAAAAUUAACUAAUAUAUCCACAUGCACUAUCUAAAUGCCAAACACCAAGAAAAAAAUGCAGCAGAGCACGAAAAAUAAUUUUUCAUUGGAAACAAUUUCUCAGCAUUUUCUUACGUACAAUGAAAGACAGAAGACAACAAAGAGAAACCCCUUUAAAGAUUACAUCCCUGCUGAAGAACUCAUAAUGUCAAACACAUUCUACUUCAUCACAACAGACUGCCUUACUGGCCCUAAAUGUCACUUAAAGAAAAUGAUAUCCACCCAACAGGGGCUUGGUUUUGCUUAUUGAGCCAUUGGUGAUCAUGGCCAUUAACAUUACAUAUAUACUGGACUGAUCCAAGAACCAGAGGCACAGAAGUGAAUUUCUACCUGCAGAGGCUGUUCUUUAAGUACAUUUGAUUAAUAAGAAAACAGAUUUUUGAUGAGUGAUCAGUGAACACACUAUGAGUCAACAAAGAAGAGCACUGUUAACCCUGCAUUGGAAGCUCUGGAGAAUUCCUCAGAGGAGGUAGCAUUUAGGCUGGUCUGGAAGGAAGAUGAGCCUGAUACUAAAAAUAUGGGGUAAGUGGUACUCCAAGCAGAGGAGCAAUAUACAGUAACCAAUGUGUGAAACUCAACUGAGUCAUGAGACAAAGUGUUCAGAGAAUAAAAUAGCUCAUUGUCACUGGCCCUGGGAUAUAUAUUUAUGGGUCAGGGCAAAGAUAGUGGUGUGAAAGUUAAACAUGAAAGGAGGAAGUAGGAAGAGACAACCAUGAAGAACACUACCAGUCAUUCCAAAGAGUUUGAAGGACUUUUUUCUGGAUUUGGUUGGACACGUUCCACGGGCAGAAAGGAAAACUAGAGCUAUUGCAAUAAUUACAUGUGAAACUAAGUAUCGAUAUCUGACAUAAGGCAAAGGCUGUCACAGACAAAGAGGUAAGAAAGUAUUUGGGAUACUUAAACCCAAAAUUACUAGGAUUUGGUGAUCAACUGAUGAAGGGGGCCAGGAGCAAGCAGGAAUCUUGAUACUUUCAUUUGUUUCUAGGUGAGGAAGCUGGAUAAACAAAAGGACCAUUUAGCAAGACAGAAGAACAUGAGAAGAGAGAUUUUGUUGGAAAGGUAACAAGUUCCAUUCUGGAUAUAUAGAGUGUGCAAAGCCUAUAAGACACCCAGUGUGAAAUAGUCAGUGUGCAUUUCAACACGUGAAGCAGGGGCUCAGGGGAGAGUAAGCAGGUAUGUGUUGCUCAGAGCACCAGGAAUGGAGAAGGCCACAGGGGAGGAUAUGGAGACAGAAGAAGGCAGAUGAAAGCUUUCAGCUUGAAGCACACCAGUACCAAGGGGUGAAAGAUAAGAAGGGCUGGUGUGGGGCGUGAAACAGGUGAGGAUGGCCAGAGAGCAACAAAGAGAGAAGUGGUAGGCAUGUGUCAAAGAAAACAGGACAAGGUUGCAAGAACAGAAUGGUGGAAAACAGUGUCUAGCAGAGGCUAAAUAAGGACUGGAAAACAAUUCCUGGAUUUAGGAAACUAGAAAAUCAUUGGUAACCUUAGUGAGGAUAAUUCCACAAAGUGGUUUUUAUCUCCCUGGCUGUGGUGAGUGUUGGAGGAGCUGGGGAGUACUGACAGUGGAAGACAUGCCUGGAAGAAGAGGUGACAGUGCAGGAGAUGCCAAGUCCAGCCAGCAAGGGUGAUCCACUCUGUGAAAUGCUGGGCUGUGGGGGAACAGGAGGAGGAUGCUAAAGAGGACAAGACGUUUGAGGAAGGGGUUUUGUUUAAAGAAGAGACACCCGAGCUUAUGUACAGCUUGGGAAGCAGAGACAUCAAAAAUACAGGAGGGAGUGGCUUGAUGCUGCCAGGCUCCCUGGAAGUGGGAGGGGACUACUGGAGUCAAGGUGGAGAAUUUUCCUUCCACUUUUGCAGCCCUCCUCUCCUGGAGAGACCAGGGCUAAAGGCAUAUAACUCUGCAAGCAGGAGCAGCCAGGGAGACUUUCAGAUGCUAAAAGGAGGAGGUCAAACUUCCGGACCUUCCCACCUCUGCCCUUAAACUUUUAAUGUGAUACCCAAGUUAUCAGAACACCGUGAGAAACAGGGACCCCAGCAUCUAUGGUUUUUAAAUCUCCCCUAAAAUGACUUCAGUGUCCAGCCAUGCUUGGGAAUGACCACUUUCAACUUUUUGCCACUUUCCACACAUAGCCAUCCUCUCUCUGACAAUUUGGUAAAAUGUGCCUUUUAUCUUAGAAACAAGUAUUUAUUAUCUCAGGUGGCCUUUAAAUACCUCUUCCUGAUACUGUUAGUUGGGACGUUUGUUGCCUUGUGAUUUAAAUUCAAAAUCUUCUAAUGAAAUGGGUUAUUUGUUUUCCAUAAGGAUUUUAAAAGGCAGCUCUCUUUAUAUUCAUAUACCUCAAUUCUUCAAAUUUCCCCCCAAAUAAUAAAUCUAAUAAUUUAAGAAGAAAAAAAAGUCUGUAUCUUAGAAAUUCAAGUUCAUGAUUACCUACAGGGUAAACAUAAGUUUCAUUGAUUCCAAAAAACAUACGAAGUAUAUUAUAAUUAAUGGCAUAUAUGAAAUUAUAGCUAAUGACCAC